rnacentral:misc_RNA from 1 species
AUGAUAUGUAGCAUUGUUUUAUUGUGGUUUUCUAAAUCUGGGCUUUGUAAUUUGUUUGCUUUAAUUUUUAUUUAUUUUUCUUUUAGCAAACAUAAAUGUAGACUCUGCCAUAGGCCGGUUUCGGAGCAUAAUCGGACUGGUUAAAUUCUGGUUCGGAAUCCUGAUCAGUCUAUGGUUUCGAACUGCUUCAAAACCGGUGACCCCUAAAGGUUAUAGCUUGGUGAACCGUGAUUGAUGUAAGCUACACAUAAAAAUAAUCCAUAAUGUAAGCUGAGU